rnacentral:rRNA from 1 species
AGCGAACGCUGGCGGCAGGCUUAACACAUGCAAGUCGAGCGGGCAUCUUCGGGUGUCAGCGGCGGACGGGUGAGUAACGCGUGGGAACGUGCCUUCUGGUUCGGAAUAACUCAGGGAAACUUGAGCUAAUACCGGAUACGCCCUUUUGGGGAAAGGUUUACUGCCGGAAGAUCGGCCCGCGUCUGAUUAGCUAGUUGGUGGGGUAACGGCCUACCAAGGCGACGAUCAGUAGCUGGUCUGAGAGGAUGAUCAGCCACACUGGGACUGAGACACGGCCCAGACUCCUACGGGAGGCAGCAGUGGGGAAUAUUGGACAAUGGGGGCAACCCUGAUCCAGCCAUGCCGCGUGAGUGAUGAAGGCCUUAGGGUUGUAAAGCUCUUUUAUCCGGGACGAUAAUGACGGUACCGGAGGAAUAAGCCCCGGCUAACUUCGUGCCAGCAGCCGCCGUAAAAC